ensembl:lncRNA
UGAUAUUGGAAUAAUUUAUUUGUAUCACAUUGUUCAUCGCUCACAUAGUCCACAAUUAAAUAUAGACAAAAUGAGGUCCUCUCUUGGGAGUGCAUGGUCAUCAAACAACCAUAUCCAUCAUAAUAAAAAGAAAACGUAUGAAAAUCCCAACAUAUCUUUCCGUGACAGAAACUUCGCUUUUAUCAUCUCGGACCAAAUGAAGUGGGCUCGACGCUAAACAAGUUGUCAAAAGAAAACCAAUAUCUAAAAAAAAAGUCUUAAUAUAUCUUAAAGUAUCUACUAUCAACAUUAUUAUUUACAGGGUUUAUAAAAACACUUCUGAACCCAAAGCACCUCUCUGUGGCCCCCCAUCAUUAGGCCUGUCUGCAGUGAACAACGUACAGAGCAGUGGGGGACAAGAGGUUAGGGAGAGGUGUGUUCCCACUCCCACGCCCAGCUAAGCGCCCAGAACGUCAGAGGGUUGGGCGUCCCAGCGAGAGCAGCUCACCCACCACAGGGUCCCCUGGGUCGACCCGGGCCGUCCGCGGCCGAGAGAGCUGUCGCGAGUCAGGCCGAGUCGGUAGGUCUGAAGGAGAGUAGGUCAGGCAGAUCAGCACAGCGGCGACCGAUCACAUACACACGUACACACGCACACACGUACGCACACACACACACACACACACACGCAGGCACGCACGCAUGCACUCACGCGCAUACAAACACACACACGCGCGACGUACACAGGCGCAUGCAUUCAAACACACACGCGACUCACACAUGUACGCGCCCAACACACACACACGUCAGCCUAUAGGCCUGCCGUCACUAUCUCUAAAAGAAUAAAUAAAAAGGCUUCCCGUGCGGCAUUUUUAGGCAAGAUUUUAAAAAGGCUUGAACUUAAACCUGGGUAGUGGGGGGGAAGAAGCCUCAAUCAUGACUGUAUAACAAAAGCUUGCUCUGUGUACGUUAGGUUCAGGGUUUGAGGACUGAACACAGCCGAGGGCGAGGGGAGGAAGGCGAUAGUAGUUGUUCUGAUGGGCCGGGCGCACCUGCGUGCCUGGGAACGUAUAUCCCACCUACACACCGCCAGUGGGUGAUCAUCUCAAGCGGGAGCAUGUCCCUCUCAGACACAACAUGGUCGCCCUGCUGUGAGAGGGGCUGUGAUGACCCUUGGUCUAGUGGCCUUUGUCCGGGGCCCACUCCAGGACAGUGCAUGGUCCGCGGGCCGUGUUUAAGAGCCGUUCCGUCACACUAGCUUUCUUGUGAUCCCUUUGAAAUGAAGCGACACCCCAGCUGUCCACUCAGAGCAGACACUUAAGGAGCCCAAACAGAGAGCAAAGUCGGACUCCUCAUGGCAAAGAAUAUAUAUACAUUUAGACAUGAUAUAUUUAUAUAUAUUUAGAUGAAUAAAUAUAUAUAUAUGUACAUAUCAAAUAAUAAGUGAUGUACAAAUCAAAUACACGUUCCCGGUGAACGUGACGGACAGGUAGAAGGUUCGCUCAGGAAGAAAGGCAGGGCUGAACCCGCCAGUCUCAGGUUCUCAGCUUGAGUGUGAGUGUGUGUGCGUGUGUGUGCGUGGUGUGGUGAUGAUGAUGGGGAUGCAGGUGUGUGUAUCCAGGGGAGACUCCCAACGAGGUCUCCUGGUACGAGACUGCUGUCCUGAGAACGAGGUGGGGGGGAGAGACAAAAGAAGGUGAUCGUUAGUCAACCCAUUCAAUCACAGGAGGGGUUAGGGCACCUGCACUGAACACACACAUACAGAGAACACUGCAAAAAACGAAUACCAAACAAAGGGCAUUGGGGUAAAGUCUGCGUUGUGUGCGUCACUAAACUAGUAAUAAGUUGAAAACAAGAAAC